UGGCCAUCCGAGUUGUAAUCUAGAGAAGUGUUACCCGCGUCGGACCGUGUACAAGUCUCCUGGAAUGGAGCGUCAUAGAGGGUGAGAAUCCCGUCUUUGACACGGACUACCGAGGCUUUGUGGUGCUCUCAACGAGUCGAGUUGUUUGGGAAUGCAGCUCAAAAUGGGUGGUAAAUUCCAUCUAAAGCUAAAUAUUGGCGAGAGACCGAUAGCGAACAAGUACCGUGAGGGAAAGAUGAAAAGAACUUUGGAAAGAGAGUUAAACAGUACGUGAAAUUGCUAAAAGGGAAACGCUUGAAGUCAGUCGCGUUGGCCGGAAAUCAGCCUUGCUUUUGCUGGGUGUACUUUCUGGUUGACGGGCCAGCAUCAGUUUUGACCGGUGGAAAAAGUUCGAGGGAAUGUGGCAUCUUCGGAUGUGUUAUAGCCCUUGGUCGUAUACAUCGGUUGGGACUGAGGAACUCAGCACGCCGAAAGGCCGGGUCUUUGACCACGUUCGUGCUUAGGAUGCUGGCAUAAUGGCUUUAAUCGACCCGUCUUGAAACACGGACCAAGGAGUCUAACAUGCCUGCGAGUGUUUGGGUGGAAAACCCGGACGCGUAAUGAAAGUGAAAGUCGAGAUCCCUGUCAUGGGGAGCAUCGACGCCCGGACCAGAAGUUUUCUGACGGCCCUGCGGUAGAGCAUGUAUGUUGGGACCCGAAAGAUGGUGAACUAUGCCUGAAUAGGGUGAAGCCAGAGGAAACUCUGGUGGAGGCUCGUAGC
rnacentral:rRNA from 1 species